CUGUUCGGUGUUGGCGUUGAUUGUAAGCGGGGAAACGGUGUUGGACUAGUCAAGGGGCUGAUUGCAGCAAACUGCAAGUUGUUUGAGGGUAGAGGGAGCGAGGGGCGAGUAUUGUCAGAAGCGUGGGCUGAUGUGUUUGGGGAGAAAAAGGGGACCCCCCUAAAUACCGAAUAACGUAUCAUGAACUACAAACGGGACCUUGUGGACUCGUGCUGCCGGAUGUGCUCCAAGGGGAUUUCCACCACACUGGGGUAACGUACUACCGGAGCNAAGAUCCCUACCUGGUCUGAGAGGAUGACCAAGUACACUGUAUCUGACACACAUACCUACUCCAACCGUGGGCAUACUUGUUUCAUAUUGCACAAUGGGCGCAAGCCUGAUGCAGCCAUGCCGCGUGUAUGAAGAAGGCCUUCGGGUUGUAAAGUACUUUCAGCGGGGAGGAAGGGAGUAAAGUUAAUACCUUUGCUCAUUGACGUUACCCGCAAAAAAAGCACCGGCUAACUCCGUGCCAGCAGCCGCGGUAUACGGAGGGUGCAAGCGUUAAUCGGAAUUACUGGGCGAAAAGCGCACGCAGGCGGUUGUUAAGUCAAAUGUGAAAUCCCCGGGCUCACCUGGGAACUGCUCUGAUCUUGGCAAGCUCCGAGUCUCGCAAAGGGGGUAGAAUUUCAUGGGUAGCCGUGAAAUGCGUAGAGAUCUGGAGAAUACCGUUGGUGAAAGUCGCCCCCCUGGUCGAAAAAUGACUGU
rnacentral:rRNA from 1 species